rnacentral:rRNA from 1 species
GUGCCAGCAGCCGCGGUAAUACGUAGGGUGCGAGCGUUGUCCGGAAUUACUGGGCGUAAAGAGCUCGUAGGCGGUUUGUCGCGUCGUCUGUGAAAUUCUGCAACUCAAUUGUAGGCGUGCAGGCGAUACGGGCAGGCUUGAGUACUACAGGGGAGACUGGAAUUCCUGGUGUAGCGGUGAAAUGCGCAGAUAUCAGGAGGAACACCGGUGGCGAAGGCGGGUCUCUGGGUAGUAACUGUCGCUGAGGAGCGAAAGCGUGGGUAGCGAACAGGAUUAGAUACCCCCGUAGUCC